rnacentral:lncRNA from 1 species
UCCAUUUCAUGCCUACCCUUGAUCCAACUCAAUCGAACAUUCGUGCCAUUUUCGCAUGGCUUAAAGUUUACAUGCCAAAGUUCAAACACAACGUAAUAGCUUAUACAUGCCAAAAUGUUCUUCUAAGCCAACUAAGAAGAAAGUACCAAAACUUGCUAUCCGGUGUGAUGACUUCGAUGACGGCCCGAUCACGCAAAAAGAGAUGUGUCCAAGAAACCUAGAAUAGGUGACAAGGAAACACCGAGUGAGUUUAUAACUCAGUAAGUCAUAAGCUAUGCACUACCAUCCAUCCAUAACAUUAUCACAAGAGAAAACAAAAUGGAACGAGGCUAAUUACUCCAUCCAUUCCGAACCAUACCAUAGUUCCUCCAACCUAUCGAUUCAAUUUCAUAUCAAUUCAUGCAUUCACAUUCCAUAUACUCAUCAAUAGGACAUUGAAGCAUUUUCAUAAAUCAAUUUAUUUUCGUUACAAUCAAACGACUAAACGGCCUUUCACCCAUCCUACGUUAAAUUUUAUGUACGUGACUUCAAGUAUGGUUGUCACAUAGGUUCAAACUUACCGAGCUCAACACCAAGUAUAAGCAUAGCACCUAUUAGCCAUGUACUCAAGACACUUACCCGAUCCGCUGUCCGCGAUCGACUCAAUAGUGUCGCACACAUAGUGUCCAUAAUGAUUCACGAAUGCAUAUUGAGUCCGCACACUCAGUGCUAUAUAAUCAACUCGCACACUUAGUGCUACGUAAUCAAAUCGCACACUUAGUGCUACAUAGUCAAACUCGCACACUUAGUGCCGCAUGGUCAAUUCGCACACUUAGUGCAUCAUAUUCAUUUCGCACACUUAGUGCAACAUAGUCAAAUCGCACACUUAGUGCUGUACAAUUUAAUCCCACGCACUUAGCGCCAAUCUCAUGGUCAUAAAUGGUUAUACCCGCACGUUUAGUGCCGAGAUCAACAACUCAGUACAUCUUACCUCUUUUCUUUUCAUUCAACAAUUUCAUCAUCACAUACGUACAUGCAUAUAUAUAUAUGUAUAUUUAUUCAUUCCAUUCAGCAUCAAUACAUAAACAUUAAGACCAUUUGAAAUAAUACCAACUACAUGCUUAAUGACUUACCUUGUGUUGGGUAAGACGGUUCCAACUCGACUACUCAGUGAUCUUUUCUUUGCCUUUAUCGGAUCUAGUUCCCUUUUGCUCUUGAGCUUAAGUUCAACAAAAUUUAAAAUAGUCAUUAAUCGACUAUUCAAGUAUUACUUUCAGAAUAAUAUAUAUAUUGAUUUGACCUUCACACACAUAGAUUAUAGUAAGCUUUAUAAUAGUCAAUAAAUAACUCAUUGGCAAAUUUUCAUUAAUGUUUACAACAAAAUCACAUAUUCACUACGAGCUGUUUUCCUGAGUAGUAGUCGCUAAAUUGUUUAUAACUGGAGCUACAAAACUCCAAAUCACUAGUCGUUAAUUUUCCCUGAAUAUAGACUCGUAUAUCUUCCAUCCAUAAAAUUUUCAGAAUUUUUGGCUUGGCCAAUCAAUACCAGAUUUUUCUUAAAUUUUCCCCUGUUUCACUGUUUGACUAUUCUGACCACUCUUCACUACGAAUCAAAUUUCUCAUUUUACAGAAUUCAAAAUGUGUUGUAUUUGAUCUCAUUUGAAACUAGACUCAUUAAGGAGUCUAAGCAUAUAAAUUUUAUCUUAUAAUCAUUUUUGUACAAUUUAUAAUGAUUUCCUAAAAACAAAACAGGGAAUCUAGUAGUCAUUUUGACUCAGCCCCACAAUACUUCAAAUAUCUCAAGAUCGGUAACUCUUUUGUUUUUAUAGUUUCUUUUAUAAGAAAAUAGGCUCUUCAAGAUUUAAUGGCAUAAUUCACUCAGCUUCUAAUUCAACUCCUACAAAUUAUGGCGAUUUUCCAAAAUCACCUUACUGCUGCUGUCCCCAAAUAGAUUAUUACCAAAUCAAAUACUAACAUUAGCAUUUCACCUUAAUAGCUAGCUUACCAAGCCUUAAUUUAACAUAUUAAUCUUUAACAUAUCUUUCACUUUUCAUCAACAACUAUCAAAAAGCUCAAGCACUCAUCAAUGGCAAAACACAAAAUCAUCAUCAAUCCAUAAAAUUGAACCAUGGGUUUUUAGAACUCAAGUCAACUACUAAAACAUGCAUGCAUCUCAAGAACAACAUCAAACAUACCUUAGUCUAGCAAACCACCAUAGCCGAUUUUCUCAAGCUCUUCCCCUUCCUUUCUUUCCUCUAUUCGGCCAAAGGUGUUCAAGAAUGAACACAUUUUUUUUUUGUUUUCUUUCCUCAACUCACGGCAACAAGGGGGGUAUGGAUGAGACCAUUUUUUUUUUCAUCACCCUUCCUUUUCAUUGUUUAAUUACCAUGCUCUUUAUUUUAUUUUUCUUAGCAUACAUCACUAGCAUAACAUGUUGGUGACAUGUUUCCACCCAUAGCAUGGCCAGCCACUAUGCUUUAAUUUGGCUAAUUUGACAUGCAAGGACAAACACUUUCCCACAUAUAUUAAUGGGCCACUUGAACACUUGCCUAGCAUAUUUCUAAAUUGUCUCACAUAAGUCCCUACUAAUAAAUUCCACAUACACUGACCAAAUUAAAGUAUGGAACUAUCACACAAGCAUUUACGCACAUCAUAAACACAGGAUAUAAUCUUUAAUUAUUUAUAAGACUCGGUUUUGUGGUCCCGAAACCACUUCCCGACUAGGGUCAAUUUUGGGCUGUUACAAAACGCUUGUAAAAACUUACAUGGCCAAGAAAAGAAAGGAUUUCCCUUACAAUCGUGGGGUAUGGAAGUGAGUUAAUAACAUCAGGUUUGACCUUAUCAACCGUAAUCUCUUCAACAGGGACAACAUGACCUGAAUUGAAUCCCUUAUCAACCAUAAAAUGACAUUUUUCAUAGUUUAGAAUGAGAUUAAAUUAUAGACAUCUUUCCAAAAUCUUACUGAGGUUUGAUAGACAUUCAUUGAAAGAAUCACCAUACACCGUGAAGUCAUCCAUAAAUACAUAAAUUAUUUUCUCGACAUAGUUUGAAAAUAUGCUUACCAUACACCUCUAAAAUGUGGCCAAUAUGGAAAAAAGGACAUGCAAACAUCUUCUUUUCUUGGUCUAUAGGUAAAUGUGCCAAAAGGACAUGUGAAUGUCUUCUUUUCUUAGUCUUCCAGUGCUACUAGAAUUUGGAAGAAACUUGAAUAGUCACCAAGACAGCAAUAGUGAGAUUUACUGGCUAAGCAUUCGAGCAUUUAGCCAAUGAAAGGAAGUGGAAAUUGGCUUUUCAAGUUAAAACAUUUAACUUCUUGUAGUUUAUAUAGACUUUCCACUCGUUUUAGACCCGAGAGGGAACCAAUUCAGAAAGUUAGGAAUUGAGCAUCAAUUAAUCUCUGGAAUGAUUUCUGACCACUAAAACCUGGUCAAUGAAGGGUGAAAACUCAAGACAUCAACAUAAAUUAUAUGAAUGUUUCAGACUUAAUAGAUAUGGACACUUUUACUUGGAAAUCUGAAGUAUUGAGGGCUUUAUUUGAUGACAAACAAGUGAGAAGGAUAUUGGCAAUCCCAUUGGCUAGUAGUGCACAGACGAAUGAAGUAGUGUGGCAUAAAGGCAACACUAGCGUCUAUAAAGCUAAAAGAGGAUACAAGUGGCUAGUUACAGAGGAAUUGGAUUUGCUAGGAUAUGAUCACACAACACAUUCUACAGUACUAAAAGCUUUCUAUAGUUGUAGAAUUUAAAUAUCCCAUGCAAAAUCAGGAUUGCAAUGUGGAAAAUUGCCAAUGGGUAUUUUCCUACGCUACAAAUGUUAAAAAAAACGAUAGCAAUAGAAAGCCUUUUUCCUAUCUACCAAACUGAGGAGGAAUCAGUAGAGCACCUGUUUCAGGAAUGUUAGUUCACGUAACAAAUCCUGUAGAGGAUUGGUGUGGUGUUCUCAACCACAAAUGGAAAGCAAAAUUGGAAACUUUGGUUGGUAGAAGAGUUUAUAAACAACAGCUGCUCUAUGUGCAAAACAAUAGCUAUUAGCUAUUGGGCAUUAUGGUACAAUCGAAACAAGGUAAAUUAUGAGGGGGCAAGGAAACAAAUGCAUGAAGUACUAGCUUUUAUCAAUGCUCAUAUUUUAGAGAUGAAAAAAUUAGAAGAUAUAACAGUACCAAUGUAAAACCCUCGAGUUAGUAAAUGGAAGCCACUAGAAGGUGAUAGUGUUAAAGCUCAUUUCAUCAACAGUUAAAUAAAUCAGUCUAGGUGAUUUUAAUUAGAAACAGGGAGGGCCUAGUUAUGGCAACGUGUACUUACCUGAAUGAGCGUGUUAAAAUCAACCAUGGAAAAAGCGCGAGCAUGUUUGAAACCUGUAAUUUUCGUGAAGGAACUAGGGUUUAGAAGGAUUUUGGUAGAAGGGGACAUCUUAACUGUUUUGAAGAGAGUAAGGACCGUAGAGGAGGAUAAAUCAAAUAUCAGUAAUCUAGUCAAGGAAGUAAAAGAAAGGAUUUGUAGGUUUGAAAAAAAUAGAAUUUCGAAACGUACCUUAGAAAGCUAAUGAAGUUUGGCAGAGGAAGGUAGGCGUUAUGAAAACCCCAAAUAUUGGAUAGAAGAGGCUCUGAAGAGAGUGAAAGAACUAUUAAAUCAAGAUUGACAUGGACUACAAUGAGAGGGAUGAAGAAUGAGGUUACUGAGACCGAAAGAACUAUGACUAUUUGGACUUCGAUGAACUCAGAUUGUCAUAGAGGGAUCGAGCCGUAAACGGAAGCAUACCCAAGAUCAACAGGAGGAAAACAGGACUGCCUCUGGUGUUUUUGUGAUGUAAUGAUCGAAUUAGCGAAAUGGAAAGGAAGAUGGUUCAUUUCUUUACUAUUUUUGGUUUUCUUUUCCUUUAGAAAUCUAUUUUGGUUUUUGGAUAUGAGUUAUCCCCAAUUUUUUAAUUCUGUUACUUUCAAGGCACUGCCCAUUCGACUAAUAAAAUUGACGCAGAAGAAAAGUUGAUUGGUGGGCUGGGAAUUGUAACCGAUGACUUCC